CAAUAGCGUAUAUUAAAGCUGUUGCGGUUAAAAAGCUCGUAGUUGGAUUUCUGUCAAGUACAACUGGUCCGCCCUCCGGGUGAGCACAUAGUUUGGUCUUGGCAUCUUGCUGGAAACUGUUGCUGCACUUGGUUGUGUGGCGCAGCAUCCAGCACUUUCACUUUGAGGAAAUUGGAGUGUUUCAAGCAGGCACAUGCCUUUGGACACAGUAGCAUGGAAUAAUUAGAUUGGGCUUUUGCUCCAAUUUGUCGGUUUCUGGAGCUGAGGUGAGAAUUAAUGGGGAUUGUUGGGGGCAUCCGAAUUUAGCCGUCAGAGGUGAAAUUCUUGGAUCUGCUAAAGACGGACAACUGCGAAAGCGUUUGCCCAGGAUGUUUUCAUUGA
rnacentral:rRNA from 1 species